rnacentral:rRNA from 1 species
GUAGGUGGCAAGCGUUGUCCGGAUUUACUGGGCGUAAAGCGCGCGCAGGCGGCUUGCCAAGUCUGGGGUGAAAUCUCCCGGCUCAACCGGGAUAGGUCUCCAGAUACUGGCAGGCUUGAGGGGAGCAGAGGAGAGUGGAAUUCUCGGUGUAGCGGUGAUAUGCGUAGAUAUCGAGAGGAACACCAGUGGCGAAGGCGGCUCUCUGGGCUCCAUCUGACGCUGAGGCGCGAAAGCGUGGGGAGCGAACCGGAUUAGAUACCCGGGUAGUCCACGCCCGUAAACGUUGGGCACUAGGUGUGGGGGGUAUUGACCCCCUCCGUGCCGUAGCUAACGCAUUAAGUGCCCCCGCCUGGGAGUACGGCCGCAAGGCUA